CUGAUCCAUUAGUUUUUUUUCGCAACUAGAGAGAGACGAUUGGCCACUUUCGGAAUUUCGUCAGUGCUUUUGUUUUUAUCACUUAUUAGUUUUGUUAAAUUGCAACAUCGACCCUUGCAUAAAAAAGCAAAGCGGCCGCAAAAUGACAUUGAACCCACAAUACGAAGACAUUGGCAAGGGCUUCGUCCAGCAAUAUUAUGCCCUAUUUGACAACCCGGCAAACCGCAAUACCGUGGCAACCUUUUACAGCGAGACUGACUCGUUCAUGACUUUCGAGGGACACCAGAUACAGGGUGCCACAAAAAUUUUACAAAAAAUACAGAGUCUGACUUUCCAAAAGAUUACCCGUGCGAUUACCACAGUGGAUUCGCAGCCAACCUUCGAUGGCGGCGUACUAAUUAAUGUGCUCGGAAGAUUACAGACCGAUGAGGAUCAACCGCAUGCGUAUAUACAGACCUUUGUGCUCAAGCCUGUUGGUGCCAGUUUCUUUGUACAACACGAUAUAUUUAGACUUGCGCUGCACGAUGUGUAAUCUCGUCGCCAAAAAAUCGGCAACAACUACCACCACAACAGCAAACUUCAGGCCAAUGCGAUGAUGAUCCACCACACGCCUACUCUCAAGUCUUUGUAUUGAAGCAAGGUGGCGGCAGCUUCUAUGUGGCUCACGACGUUUUUCGCUUGAACAUCCACAACUCGGCCUAAUGCCACUACCACACACACUCACACACAAUGCAUCCAAAUACACUCACACACUAUAUAUACUUACUGGAACAGCAACUGUAUAAAAAAGACAAACAACACCAGCAAACAGGAACGGCAGCAACUAAACCAACACGGAGCAGCCCCAAAUAUUUUCAUCCAAAGAUGCAGCGUCACAACAACACCAACAAAAUUAUCAACAACAACAACAACUGCAACACACGGCAACCAAAAUGCCAAAUAGACUGCUGCCAUAAAGAACAGUGGAGGACAAGCAGUUGGUGGGAAGGGGACUGGAGCUGCUGAAUGUUCUCACGUUUAUAAAAGAAAAAAUGAAAAAACAAGAAAAAAAAAAUGAGAUGAAAAUUAUACAUAAACACAAUAAAAAAAAGUACUAUUACAAUGUAAAGCAACCGA